rnacentral:rRNA from 1 species
UACGUAGGUGGCAAGCGUUGUCCGGAUUUACUGGGCGUAAAGCGCCCGCAGGCGGCUUGUUAAGUUCCAAGGUGAAAUCUCCCGGCUUAACUGGGAGGGUGCCUCGAAAACUGGCAGGCUUGAGGUGAGGAGAGGGAUGCGGAAUUCCAGGUGUAGCGGUGAAAUGCGUAGAGUAUCUGGAGGAACACCAGUGGCGAAGGCGGGCAUCCUGGCCUUAUCCUGACGCUCAGGGCGAAAGCGUGGGAGCAACCGG